UAACACAUGCAAGUCGAACGGCAGCACAGCAGUAGCAAUACUGUGGGUGGCGAGUGGCGGACGGGUGAGUAAUGCAUCGGGACCUACCUAGACGUGGGGGAUAACGUAGGGAAACUUACGCUAAUACCGCAUACGUCCUACGGGAGAAAGCGGGGGAUCUUCGGACCUCGCGCGGUUAGACGGACCGAUGUUCGAUUAGCUAGUUGGUAGGGUAAUGGCCUACCAAGGCGACGAUCGAUAGCUGGUCUGAGAGGAUGAUCAGCCACACUGGAACUGAGACACGGUCCAGACUCCUACGGGAGGCAGCAGUGGGGAAUAUUGGACAAUGGGCGCAAGCCUGAUCCAGCAAUGCCGCGUGUGUGAAGAAGGCCUUCGGGUUGUAAAGCACUUUUAUCAGGAGCGAAAUACUACUGGCUAAUAACCGGUGGGGCUGACGGUACCUGAGGAAUAAGCACCGGCUAACUUCGUGCCAGCAGCCGCGGUAAUACGAAGGGUGCAAGCGUUAAUCGGAAUUACUGGGCGUAAAGCGUGCGUAGGCGGUUUGUUAAGUCUGUUGUGAAAUCCCCGGGCUCAACCUGGGAAUGGCAAUG
rnacentral:rRNA from 1 species